rnacentral:rRNA from 1 species
GACGUAGGGCGCGAGCGUUUGUCCGGAUUUAUUGGGCGUAAAGAGCUCGUAGGCGGCUUGUCGCGUCGAAUGUGAAAACCCACGGCUCAACUGUGGGCUUGCAUUCGAUACGGGCAGGCUAGAGUUCGGUAGGGGAGACUGGAAUUCCUGGUGUAGCGGUGAAAUGCGCAGAUAUCAGGAAGAACACCCGUGGCGAAGGCGGCUCUCUGGGACGGUACUGACGCUGAGACGCGAAAGCGUGGGGAGCGAACAGG